ACAUUUUUGAGUUUUUCAAAAUUAAUGAAACGCAAUUGAAAGCACCAUUAGUUUACCGAGAUCCCCGUGAAGGCACCAUGGCCCGUUGGAGACCACAUGCUUUACCUUUGUUGUCUGUUUCCAUAACUCUACAAAAUGUUGCCACACGGUGUCUUUAGGGAAGCAGGAGGAUAUUUCAUUUCAGUUGUUUCUCCGUUAUCUCCAUCGCCGGCAGUGGCCACGGUGUCUGGAAAAGUCAAGCUGCAGGCUACUGGACUCAACCAACGAUGUGUCCGAACUGUCCAGUUUCCAAACAUUGUGAUUGCCCAGAGAGGUGUGACAUCAUCCAUGCAGAUGAAGUCUGGCGAUUUGUUUACUGAUCAGCGGUCAGUGUGUGAAGAACAUGAGUCCGUCUCGCCACCAGAGCUCGCAUGUGAGCCACUACUGGACACACAGGGACACACACACACACACACACACA